rnacentral:tRNA from 1 species
GGGCGAUUAGCUCAGUUGGUUCAGAGCACCUGCCUUACAAGCAGGGGGUCGUUGGUUCGAAUCCAUCAUCGCCCACUA